AAAGACUGCAGUUUUGCACUAUUCAUAUCCAACGUUUGACCGUCCGUUUUAUUUGAAAGUUUUUUAUAAUUAGUAUUUUUAUUGAUAUUAAAUGAUAAAUUAUGAAUAAUACUUUAUGUGUGACUAUUUUUUAUUUUUUUUAAUAAAUUUUCAAACAAGACGGACGUGGUUAG
rnacentral:pre_miRNA from 1 species